CUUUAUAAAUUCCACCACCACCAUUUAUAUGCUUUUUUGUUUUUGGUGUCAUUGUCAUUCAAAAAGUCUUUCAUUAAUAAUCAUGAAGAAGAAAAAAAAAAACUUCCUUUUUUGUUUUACUUUUAUCUUCCACAUUUUAUAUUCUCCGCCACAAAGGUCUCCUUUUGUAUUUCCCCUUUAGGAAAAGGAAAUUUACUCAAUGACCAAUCAUUAUUACCAUAAAAUAGUUUUAUUAUUUUCAGGCCAAUUAAAGACAAACAAACAUUGAUCAUUGGACUACCGGCUGCUUUUCAAUUU